GACAGAGGAUGCAAACGUUGCUCGGAAUUACUGGGCGUAAAGCGCGUGUAGGCGGUUUCGCGAGUCGGGUGUGAAAGCCCGGGGCUCAACCCCGGAAGUGCACUCGAUACUACGGAGCUGGAGUACUGAAGAGGAGAGCGGAAUUCCCGGUGUAGAGGUGAAAUUCGUAGAUAUCGGGAGGAACACCAGUGGCGAAGGCGGCUCUCUGGGCAGAUACUGACGCUGAAACGCGAAAGCGUGGGGAGCAAACAGG
rnacentral:rRNA from 1 species